rnacentral:rRNA from 1 species
AGGUAAUAGAUACCCUGGUAGUCCACGCUGUAAACGAUGGAUACUAGGUGUAGGGGGCGUAGCCCUCUGUGCCGCAGUUAAACACAUUAAGUAUCCCGCCUGGGGAGUACGAUCGCAAGAUUAAAACUCAAAGGAAUUGACGGGGGCCCGCACAAGCAGCGGAGCAUGUGGUUUAAUUCGACGCAACGCGAAGAACCUUACCAAGGCUUGACAUCUGUAGAAUUCGGUAGAAAUACUGAAGUGCCCUUUCGGGGAACUGCAAGCAGGUGUGCAUGGUUGUCGUCAGCUCGUGUCGUGAGAUGUUAGGUUAAGUCCUGUAACCGAGCGNAA